rnacentral:snoRNA from 1 species
CUCCAUCGCUAAGUCAAGGCUCCUUUCACGCACUCCCGUGCGUACCUUCUCUGUGAAAGCAGCCUGUUACAGCUUUGGUACAUCAAGCUGCGCUCGCCCUCCCCCUCGGGGGACGGUUCCCGACACUUGCAUCCGUCUUGGAAGCAUUCGUCACAGAGUGCAACGCGUGUUUCGUUUGAGUUGAGGUCUGCUCUUUAUCACCCAUAGCAUUUCUCUUAGUAAUGUCUCAUACACUU